AUCGCCACCUCUACGUUAACAUCAAAUAAUCUAAACUCAAAUUGUUCAAUUUUAUUUUUUAUUUUUAUAAAAAGUGAUUGCAGUAUUACACGUUAUUCUAUUACCGUUUGCAUACAGUAUACACAAACGUUUCAUCACACAAUCAAAUAAAAUAAUACGAUAAAAACCCUGUUUUUCUAUACAGAUCAACUGACAACUACUUAUUAAAAUUAACAUGAACAAAUUUGGACGUGCUAACGCAGUUCAACAUUAAUCAUCAACGCGAGCGAAUUCAAGUAUACAAAUAUUAACAGUCAUCUUCAUGUAUAGUUGGUUUUUCCAAAUGAUCCUAAUGACGUACUCAAUGAAAACGAGUUACUCCAUUGAUUAUGCGCAAGUCGUCGAACUAGUGGCUUUCGAUGUUUCUUGCGGCGACUACAACCUGCUAAAUUGCAUAUUACGUGAAUAGAAUUUUUAUCAUUUGAGACCAACGAUUUACUGCUUUAAGUAAAAAAUAUUACUGACCAUGGGCAUAAUGAGCCAUCCAAACGUAAUUUUAUAACAUAACUGUUACAUUUCAUACACAGCUAGUUAACUUUUUUGGUACAGUUGCCGUUGAAUGAAGUUUUUGAUGAUGGAACAAUUGGAACAUAUUGUAUUGUUAAUUAUGAUGUAAUAGCGAGUAUAAUAAGCGAAGUAACAACAAAGUUUAAAUAAUAAACAUAAAAUAGUAGGUAUCAAAGUGGAUAACGUAUUUUACAGAUACAACCCGUGCUAACGGCAUAAUAUGCUUAUGGUGAAUAAAAUAAAUAGGUAUUGCAUUUCGGUCGAGUGUAAAGUAAUCGUAUUCGUUCUGUGUCAACUAAAAUUAGUCACGGAACAAAUUUUAAAACAAAACAAUUAAAAACCGAAUUUAACAACGCGGCCGUGCGACCUGUGAACAUGACCGUUAAAUUACAAUUUGCUCCGUUAUUACAUUAUAAUAUAAUACUAUAUGUAUAUGUAUGAUAUUAUACACACAAUCUCACACAGGAAUACAGAUUAAUUAAGAUGUUAGAGUAAAUUUUUAAAUUUUGUGUAUAAAAAAAAAAAAUAAAAAAUAAAAAUUUUAUCGUACGUAUGCUAAAAUCAUAAUAUAGCUUACAAUUAUUAGCUAAACGGGAUGAAUAUAUGAACAUUAAAAUAAUAGAUAAUAAGGAAAAAACGAUUUCUAUUUUUACACGAGUACGAUUACUACCACAUAUUAUAUUAUAUGAACAUGUAGCGUUUAGGUUAUAUUAUAACAGCCCAAUACU